UGUUAGUGCUCCGCCCGAGGCCAGGGCCUAGCCUUCACGUGAUCGUUCACCUCCAGCACCACACGCUCACCUUGGAUCCAAGGCAGGUGUUAGCCUGUCAUACAGACCACAUUAGGUGGUUCCGACUCGUAGGUGACUUGCAAUACUUCGCACAGACUUCACGUGAUCAUAGCACUUGAGCAUAUUUAUUUACACCUAGCUUGUCAUACAUACCACAUUAGGUGGUUCCGACUCAUGUGCGGGAAUUGGUAGAUGAGUUAUAGGCUCAGCUGUAUAGGUCACAUUAGGUGACUCCGGCUGACAUAUCAGUUUACAUUGAUUUAUUUCACCUGGCUUACUCAUUUCAUUGUUGAGAUAUGGCAUAUACUUGGUUUUCACUACUCUUGAGCAUGAUUUCUACAUAUGUAUGUAUUACUAUUUUCUGGGAAAUUAUACGGGUUUUACGGUGAGUGGUUAUUAUUUUUGGAAAGAGAAAUGGUUUUAAAAAGCUUUGUUUUUACCCACUCACGUUUUUUUGUUUUGCGCCCCUCCAUGUUCUAGUUAGACGUUCGUGUUGGUGGCUUACAAGGACUCUACAGCGGUUCUGACAGACUUUAAUUAAUGUAGGAAUUUCUUUCAUGUCUUGUAUAAUUAAUACUUAGCUUGCUAAACUGCAUCUAGGUUACCUAUACUCUGAAUAUGUGUAUCUACACCUUAAGUACCUCCACUCGCUUAUAUAUAGUGUAAGUUAGUUAAUUGGUUUUUAUUUACUCACAUUUUCAUAUCACUAUCACUUCUGCUCUGCGCUCAUGGUUACGUCACCC
rnacentral:lncRNA from 1 species